UACAGAGGUCUCAAGCGUUGUUCGGAUUCAUUGGGCGUAAAGGGUGUGUAGGUGGCGCGCUAAGUCGGGUGUGAAAUUUCGGAGCUUAACUCCGAAACUGCAUUCGAUACUGGCGUGCUUGAGGACUGGAGAGGAGACUGGAAUUCAUGGUGUAGCAGUGAAAUGCGUAGAGAUGUGGAGGAACACCAGUGGCGAAGGCGGCUUUCUGGUCUGUAACUGACGCUGAGGCGCGAAAGCGUGGGGAGCAAACAGG
rnacentral:rRNA from 1 species